UACUGCAAAACUACAACAAAACUGUGAC
rnacentral:piRNA from 1 species